ensembl:lncRNA
UCUACACAUACAGCACUUUGUCAACAAGUUAACAACCUAUAAUUGUGAAGAAAAAGAUGCACCUGGAGAAUUUCGAGAGGACAUUAACCGUGUUUUCAUUGCACUGCUGCACUGGCCUGCAGUCCCACAGUUACAACACUGAAAACUCAAUCUAUUUCCUUGUUACUCAUGAUCCUCCUGGUGAUAUUAAAGGCACAGCACGGUGGUUGACCAAGGAACAGUCACUCUUGCAAUCAGUCUCAGUUCAAAGUAGAGAGAGAGGAACCACAAUCACGCACAAAAGCUUGAGACAUAAGAACUUGUAACCAUGACAGCUGCAUCCUACAAACACUACAGAAGACAGUAACAGCAAUUCCUCCCUGCAAAGCCUGUGUUUACUCAGUUUCCUUUGUAUGCAUUGGCAGUCCCCAUUUAAGUACAGUAUCAGUACCACGACAAAACAGUUUUUAAGGUGUCUUGUCAUCAGAGGAAUGUUGUUGACCCUUCCCUCUUUUCAUGGGGUAAUACAGCAAGUAUUUUCUUUGAUGUGGAUCCUUGAGGCACUGAACAUGUGAACUUUCCAGGACUGCGUUAUUUUAUCUCAAAUAAGGGUCAGGAUUUGCAGGUAGAAAGGGUAUGAUCAACUAGUAAGAAUGGAGGAUUGAAAAAGAUUGACAUGGAAGACGGUUGUCCUGGUUUAGUUGGCAGUUAUACAGACCUGAUGUAGUGGAAAUGUCAUGACCUGAAACGGUGAUUGAGCACCUGGUGGGAAGGCAGGGCCAAUCCAGGGGAGCUCAGGUGCAUGCAAUGCUCCUGAGUGACGAGAAGGGGUGGAGCCAGGAUCCAUUCCCCUCCCAGACCUCAUUUAAGGGUUGGCAGCGGAGGUAAAGGUAUCUUCUGUGGGAGGUUCCUGUCUACUGAAGGUCUUCUACAGGUCUGGUUCCCAAAAGCAUGAUGUGGUUAGUUUCCCUGAACAUAAGCUGAGACAGAAAUCUGAGCCACCAUUGAGAGAAGAAAUUGCUUCAGAGGGAUUAGAAGUGUUAGGAGAUGUUUUUCUGGCCUUCAAGAACUGUGAUGGGGAAGCAAGGACAGGCAAGAACAGAGAGCAUGGAUGUUCCCAUGUGCACGCUACAACCGAAAGGAAGGUGCCUGACUUCUGAGUGAUAUACUAUCAUUGACCCCUAAAAAGCAAGGCAAAAGGUGCUACCUACCUGUAGAAGGUAAGAGAGGCAGGCAGUGCUGUGAAUACACGUGCCCUCAAAUCUCAAGAUCUGAUCAUACCAGCAAGAAUCAACUCUGGAGGACAUAUCCCAGAUCAGUGUGGCUAUGACGACUUAUCUGCAGAAGACGCCUACUCCUUUAACACCACACCACUGGAGAUGGGAGGGAUUUGAUAUUUUUUUUUUCCAUUUAAAUCUGUUUCAGAGGGAAGACUGCCAACUCUUCUAGACUGUUUUCUGAAAAACUGAAGUUGUCUCUUUUUUUGCCUCUGAAAUGUCAGGAAGAGUUAAGGGGAAGGCUGGUUUGUUUUUAACACAAUUUAGAACUUUUAACACAACUCUGGAGAGCAGCCAGUGUAAGAGAAUUCAUCUUUCUCACCCAUUGUCAUGUUCCAUGAUCACAAUUGGAGUCAACUAGAUUCACCUUCAGGUGGAUAUGCAAAGUUUUGUAAAAUAAGAACAGUGUUAUUCCAUUGCUCAUGACAGCAAAGAUCAUGAAGAGUAUAUGUGCUUUGAGCACAUCCAACAGAGAGAUGUUGCUUUCUAUCUUCAUGUCAUCUGCACACUGGACCACAUCUUAGAUAAAGUAGCUGAAUAAAUACAUCCUUCAUCCUGCACUCAGGAGGGAUGGCCUGUCCCAGCUCCUAGGGAGAAAAUGAAAUGGGAUGUUGAACCAAGCUAUGUUGUUCUUGAGAAGCAGGAGUGGGAGAGGAGACUGGAAAACAGAUUGAGAACCUCAUUAACUCCUUCUUCAGAAAUGCACUCCAUCUGAACCACUUGUAGGGAUAAAAACACCCUCAGAAGUUGCUUUCUAAGUCACUUAAAGGAAGAAGCUGCAAGGGAAAGCCAAGACUGAAAGUGUUGUAUUAUUCUGAAGGAAUACUGGCUGGUUUUGAUGAAAGCGCUUGGUUCAUUAGUGCCUUUUAUUUUGAAGGACUACUAAUCUCUUUCAAAGUUUAACUAUCGUCUGUGAGCAAGGAUCCUUUCACCUGCCAACCGAACUCAGAAGUUUAAUUGCGUUCUACUGCAAAUAAGGCUUCAGGACUGAAAGCAAGAAAAACUAUUAGGCAUGAUGAAAACUGGAAAGGAAAGAAAUAGAGGGUACGCUGUCACAUGUUUCAGACUUAGGAACUGAACUGAUCCAUCAGAGGGAAUUUACUAAUUAGCAAGUAGUUUUUGACCAUUAAUUGGCAUUAGCCACUCAAACACUUAUGCUCCAGGGAAGAGGGAGAGUGCAAAUAUGUCUUCUGUGAAUUGCUCUCUGCUGACAUCUCCUGAACCUAAACAGAUUUCUAUAUAUCUGAUAGAACAAAUACCAGGAAAAAGUCUAAAAUCAUGACAGAAUAGAAAGACUCCCUCUUAACUCAAGGGUUGACACUUAGUGCCUCUCUGAAAUCCUCUAAGGCCAAAUAGGAUGAAAGAAACUGAAGUUACUAUUCUGACCCUGCCAGCCCAAUUUCUCUAGGGUGCCUGGAGGGAAACUCGCACACAGACAUCAAGAGAACAGCAAGGCCAAACGGAAGAGAGCUCAGGUGACGCUUCUUGGACUCUCCUGCUCCCCUCCUGCAACUGUAGUGAAGCUGAGGUGUGAAGCAGCAAGUACUAAGUCUUGCUUUCACAUAGCCAGUGUAGGCAGUGCUACCCCAUUCACAAACAAUCAAAGUAGGUCCUCCAAAAUGGUCUCGUCCAUCUGUGCCCUCAAAGCUUCUCACCUUCACACCUCAAAAUAACCAACAUACUUUGACGUGUUGGAGCAUUGUGUCAAACAUCUGGAGGCCAGAAAGGGCCUGUUCAUCAUCUCACUAUGAUUGGUUCAGUCUAACCACAGUCUGAAUAAUUCUGUGCAGGAGGAAAAGUUUAGGACUGGGUUUCCUGGGCGGAGAUGCUAUGCUGACUGAAUAUCAAUUACCAGUGUCAUUACUGCUUCAGUCCUGUAGUUCUUCAUAAUGCCACUGCCAGAAUCAAGUACGUGAAAGACAAGUGCAGGGGAAGAAGAUGAUGUGUCUGAAGGAGGUAUUCUCGAGCAAUGCAGAGCUUCAUCCACUGGUGAAAAGCAGAAAACAUACAAACAAAAUAAUGUUUUGCUGACACUUUGCUGUACUGUUCAGUGCAGUUACAUGAACAGACAACGUUUCCCAUGGAAGAUGCCAACUAAAGCAAUGAACUGGGAGUCUGUAUUGAGAAGACUUCCAGAGGGAGCUGCAAAUCAGCAGCAGCUGGAUUGGACUCAGAAGGAAUGAUGAUUUUGAUGGGAUUAUAGCUGAAUUCGAUUAAAAUGUUUUCUUUGUUAAAUAUAUCUGUUAUUUUCCUAAAUACCAAGAGGUACACUGACUCCUACUAGUCCUAGAAGAUUUCAAAUAUGCUUUUUGCUCAGAUUUAGGGAGUGUAGGAAGUGUCAGGUAGUACAGACGCAAGGGAGUUUAAGUACUUCUGCUAGUAUAUUGCAACACGCGAGUCCAGCUGACAAACAUAACUUAUGUAUGAACUUUUAACCUGACAUUUUCCCUUUAGUUUCAAUGGAUGGUAUCAAUUUUGAAUGUAUUACUAUUGUAAGAUUUACGGACGCUUGCUGAAGGCCACUGACUUCCAAUCAAGAAUCUGACAAUAUGGUUGCUUAGAGGCUUCUUCGCAGUCCUUCUGUAUCUUGUUUCUUAAAAGCUUUCCAAGUACAUGGCAAAGGAAUGCAAUGAAACAAAUGUCACUUUGUUCUUGAAAACAUAUGGAAAAAGCUUUCAGAAUACAACAGAUGCUUGAAUCUUCUAAUAGAUUUAUCUGUAUUCUUGUUUGUUUUGUUGACUAAAAUGUAAAAGUGUUUUUUAAAAACAGAUGUUAAAAGUCAUAUAGAUGUACUUUAGUUCCAUGGAGGUAGGACACUUAAAAACUGUAGCAAACCUGAACUUGUUUUAGCUGCUAUUUUAUAUGUGAAUGCAAAACAUCCUCAGUGAA